UACGUAGGGUGCAAGCGUUGUCCGGAAUUAUUGGGCGUAAAGAGCUCGUAGGCGGUUUGUCGCGUCUGCUGUGAAAAUCCAGGGCUUAACCCUGGACCUGCAGUGGGUACGGGCAGACUAGAGUGCGGUAGGGGAGAUCGGAAUUCCUGGUGUAGCGGUGGAAUGCGCAGAUAUCAGGAGGAACACCGGUGGCGAAGGCGGGUCUCUGGGCAGUAACUGACGCUGAGGAGCGAAAGCGUGGGGAGCGAACAGG
rnacentral:rRNA from 1 species